rnacentral:rRNA from 1 species
ACGGUAACAGGUCUUCGGAUGCUGACGAGUGGCGAACGGGUGAGUAAUACAUCGGAACGUGCCUAGUAGUGGGGGAUAACUACUCGAAAGAGUAGCUAAUACCGCAUGAGAUCUACGGAUGAAAGCAGGGGACCUUCGGGCCUUGUGCUACUAGAGCGGCUGAUGGCAGAUUAGGUAGUUGGUGGGGUAAAGGCUUACCAAGCCUGCGAUCUGUAGCUGGUCUGAGAGGACGACCAGCCACACUGGGACUGAGACACGGCCCAGACUCCUACGGGAGGCAGCAGUGGGGAAUUUUGGACAAUGGGCGAAAGCCUGAUCCAGCAAUGCCGCGUGCAGGAUGAAGGCCCUCGGGUUGUAAACUGCUUUUGUACGGAACGAAAAGCCUGGGGCUAAUAUCCCCGGGUCAUGACGGUACCGUAAGAAUAAGCACCGGCUAACUACGUGCCAGCAGCCGCGGUAAUACGUAGGGUGCAAGCGUUAAUCGGAAUUACUGGGCGUAAAGCGUGCGCAGGCGGUUUUGUAAGACAGUGGUGAAAUCCCCGGGCUCAACCUGGGAACUGCCAUUGUGACUGCAAGGCUAGAGUGCGGCAGAGGGGGAUGGAAUUCCGCGUGUAGCAGUGAAAUGCGUAGAUAUGCGGAGGAACACCG